rnacentral:rRNA from 1 species
CCUACGGGCGGCAGCAGUGAGGAAUAUUGGUCAAUGGACGAGAGUCUGAACCAGCCAAGUAGCGUGAAGGAUGACUGCCCUAUGGGUUGUAAACUUCUUUUAUAUGGGAAUAAAACGUUCCACGUGUGGGAUUUUGUAUGUACCUUAUGAAUAAGGAUCGGCUAACUCCGUGCCAGCAGCCGCGGUAAUACGGAGGAUCCGAGCGUUAUCCGGAUUUAUUGGGUUUAAAGGGAGCGUAGGUGGGUUGUUAAGUCAGUUGUGAAAGUUUGCGGCUCAACCGUAAAAUUGCAAUUGAAACUGGCAGUCUUGAGUACAGUAGAGGUAGGCGGAAUUCGUGGUGUAGCGGUGAAAUGCUUAGAUAUCACGAAGAACUCCGAUUGCGAAGGCAGUUCACUGGACUGCAACUGACACUGAGGCUCGAAAGUGUGGGUAUCAAACAGGAUUAGAUACCCGAGUAGUC